rnacentral:rRNA from 1 species
UACGAAGGGGGCUAGCGUUGCUCGGAUUUACUGGGCGUAAAGGGCGCGUAGGCGGUUUGCAUAGUCAGACGUGAAAUUCCUGGGCUUAACCUGGGGGCUGCGUUUGAUACAUGCAGGCUUGAGUUCGGAAGAGGGUCGUGGAAUUCCUAGUGUAGAGGUGAAAUUCGUAGAUAUUGGGAAGAACACCGGUGGCGAAGGCGGCGACCUGGUCCGAUACUGACGCUGAGGCGCGAAAGCGUGGGGAGCAAACAGG